rnacentral:rRNA from 1 species
GCACCCGCGGUAAUUCCAGCACCAAUAGCGUAUAUUAAUGCUGCUGCUGUUAAAAAGCUCGUAGUUGGAUCAAGAGUCGGACAGUGCACGGUGGCCCCAUUAGCCAAUUUGGCUCCGAUCAUGUUGGCGGUGGCGGAUCAACCCCGUGCGCCAAACUGUCCGCUCUAACAGACCGAAACAAUUCCCUGUGAGUAGGCCCCUUCAUUGGGGUCGAAAGCGCCUACGCAUCAACCAUAUGCAUACGGGACGUCGGUCAAAGUUACUGUGAACAAACCAGCGUGUCCAAAGCAGGCUUUCGCCUGAAUGUUCGAGCAUGGAAUAACAAGGGAUCGAUUCUCUCGGUUCUUUUUGUUGGUUUUAAACCCGAGAAAGAGUAAUUCAGGCCACGGUGUCUGAGUUGGGUUUCCCAAGGCUUCGGCUGAGGCCCCAAUUAGGCCGUGUCCUUACGGGAUCAAUAGGGACUGACGGGGUCGUACGUACUUCCGCGUCAGAGGUGAAAUUCUUAGAUCGCGGGAAGACGAACUUCUGCGAAAGCACUCGGCAAGAAUGUCUUCAUUAUUCAAGAACGAGAGUGUGGGGAUCGAAGAUGAUCAGAUACCGUUGUAGUCCACUACUGUAAACAAUGCCGUCUCAGGACUGAGAAGUGAACCGAAUGGCUUUCACAGCACUAACCCCUGACACGAGAAAUCAAAGAUUAUGGGUUCAGGGGGGAGUACAUUCGCAAGGCUGAAACUUAAAGGAAUUGACGGAAUGACACCACAAGGCGUGGAGUAUGCGGCUUAAUUUGACUCAACACGGGGAAUUUUACUAGGUCAGGACAAUGUAAGGAUUGACAGAUUGAGAGCUCUUUCUCGAUCCAUUGUGUGGUGGUGCAUGGCCGCUCCUGGUUGAUGGAGUGAUUUGUCUGGUUCAUUCCGUUAACGAACGAGAUCUCGAGCCUUAAAUAGGUGCCCGUGUCGAUCGUAGUUUCACUCCUGCUCGCUUGCGAGACUAGGAUGGGACGAGACUGCGGGAAUACUUCUUAAGGGGACUGUAUGCGUCUAUAGCAUGCGGAAGAGCGAGCCAAUAGCAGGUCUGUGAUGCUCCUAAAUGUCCUAGGCUGCACGCGCACUACACUGAUGCAAUAAACAAGUCUGACGGCCUUCUGGCAACCUACCUGGAAGCGGGUGGGGAAUCUUUUGAACUUGCAUCGUGAUGAG